UGGGGAAUAUUGGACAAUGGGCGAAAGCCUGAUCCAGCCAUGCCGCGUGUGUGAAGAAGGUCUUCGGAUUGUAAAGCACUUUAAGUUGGGAGGAAGGGCAGUAAGCGAAUACCUUGCUGUUUUGACGUUACCGACAGAAGAAGCACCGGCUAACUCCGUGCCAGCAGCCGCGGUAAUACGGAGGGUGCAAGCGUUAAUCGGAAUAACUGGGCGUAAAGCGCGCGUAGGUGGUUCGUUAAGUUGAAUGUGAAAGCCCCGGGCUCAACCUGGGAACUGCAUCCAAAACUGGCGAGCUAGAGUAGGGCAGAGGGUGGUGGAAUUUCCUGUGUAGCGGUGAAAUGCGUAGAUAUAGGAAGGAACACCAGUGGCGAAGGCGACCACCUGGGCUCAUACUGACACUGAGGUGCGAAAGCGUGGGGAGCAAACAGG
rnacentral:rRNA from 1 species